rnacentral:rRNA from 1 species
UACGAAGAGGGCUAGCGUUGCUCGGAAUGACUGGGCGUAAAGGGCGCGUAGGCGGCUUGUCCAGUCAGGCGUGAAAUUCCCGGGCUCAACCUGGGGGCUGCGCUUGAGACGUGCGAUCUUGAGUGGGGAAGAGGGUCGUGGAAUUCCCAGUGUAGAGGUGAAAUUCGUAGAUAUUGGGAAGAACACCGGUGGCGAAGGCGGCGACCUGGUCCUUGACUGACGCUGAGGCGCGAAAGCGUGGGGAGCAAACAGG